rnacentral:rRNA from 1 species
UACGUAGGGGGCAAGCGUUGUCCGGAAUCAUUGGGCGUAAAGAGCGUGUAGGCGGUUCGGUAAGUCCGCUGUGAAAGUCCAGGGCUCAACCCUGGAAAGCCGGUGGAAACUGUCGAGCUAGAGUCCGGAAGAGGCGAGUGGAAUUCCUGGCGUAGCGGUGAAAUGCGCAGAUAUCAGGAGGAACACCAAUGGCGAAGGCAGCUCGCUGGGACGGUACUGACGCUGAGACGCGAAAGCGUGGGUAGCAAACAGG